CGUAGGUGACCUGCGGAAGGAUCAUUAUCAAAGAAAACAGAAAACAACUUCAGGGAAGAGGAAGCCACAAGGCAUCCACCCCCUGUCGGGCCACCCAAUACCUGCGAAACGCCACCGUCCUAGCGGUGGCGGACGAUCCGUAACGAAAAAGGAAAAGAAACAAAAAUCAGGCACGGUGGCCCGUUUACCUUCACCAAACCCUCUGUGUACCACUUUCCACGUUGCUUCCCCGCGGACACCCCUCUGAGGUGUGUGCGGGGGAGGUCUACAGCAAACAAACACGCGCGUAACAGCAGUCAGAGGGCAAUUGAUAGAAAUGAUAAAACUUUCAACAACGGAUCUCUUGGUUCCCGCAUCGAUGAAGAACGCAGCGAAAUGCGAUAAGUAAUGUGAAUUGCAGAAUUCAGUGAAUCAUCGAAUCUUUGAACGCACAUUGCGCCCCCUGGUAUUCCGGGGGGCAUGCCUGUUCGAGUCUCAAUGAAACCUCUCCCUCAGUUCAGGUCUUCCUGCACGUGAGGGGUAUUGCUGGAUGCCCACGCCGUGAAAAGUGCCGGCACCGCCCAAAUUCACAGUCCGCGUGCCUGGGGGUAGCGACCAACGUAGUGAGAUUCAAUCUCGUUGGCGACGUGACCCCACAGAGGCAACGGGACCUUAAGCGCCAAGGCGCCAAGUCAAAACGGUUGAGCUCGGAUCAGGUAGGGAUACCCGC
rnacentral:rRNA from 1 species